AUGGGUCAUCUUCUUCCCAAAAGGCGACUGAGAGCCGGAGGAAUUAAUGAAGUCCUCUGCAGCUGGCUCGAAAAUGCAGCUGCGUGGUUCCAUCCUGUGCCCCUAGGCUGCAGCCAGAGGCUGCCAGGCCCCUUCCCUGCUCGUCCCCUCCCCCUGCCCCCGCCCCCCGAGCAGAGGGGUCAACGUGUCACCUCCGUUCCUUUCCAACCCCACGAUGCAGUUACAACACGCUUCUGCCUCCUAUUUAACAGCAGGAAAGCCUCAGAGAAGCACUUCUUGCAACAUGCCCUGAGAUGCUGGAGGAGGAUGCUCCCCUUCACUUCAGUCUGGGAGUCAGGAGCAGGCUGGAUGCUCAGGUCCUUGCAAGGGGAUGGAAAAAGACAGACGUGAGCCCCGGUUUGGAUUGCUCUCAUUGGGAAGGAUCAUACAGAGACCUCCAAGCAAACAUAGUCUUGUCUGGGGCUGGAAAUAGAUUUGAACUUGCAUCAGGGCAGCAUGAGUGGAAAAGUUUAUGGAUUUGGACACAGUGCUGCUGUAAAGUGGCUACCCACUUCUUGGAUUCUAGUUAUUCACUUUCUCAGAGUACUCCACGCUUCAUGCUGAGUGCACUGCUCUUACAUCCUAGGUUGUAUAACCCAUUACAUCCUUGUGGUUAAAGCCUUUGGAGCAGUUCAGAUUAUUUCAGGUUAAUAAGAAACGAUUAAGAUCGUUGCUGUUGUUUCUCACCGUAGAAUCAGAGAGUCACAGAAUGGCUUGGGUUGGAAGGAACUUUAAUCAUCUAGUUCCAGCUCCCUUUUGGAGAUGUAGAAAGGCCUUGCCAUGGAUUUUAAGUCAUAAAUUAUCUGCGACGUUCAGCUGUGUAACACAGAUGUUAGAGCUUCCCUGAUAUCGUAGAGUCAUAGAAUCAUUAGAGUGUGAAGGAACCUUUAAAGGUCAUCUCAUCCAAGUCCCGUGCAGUGAACAGGGACAUCCACAGCUAGAUCAGGUUUCUCAUGGCCUGGUCCAGCCUCACCUUGAAAGUCUCAAGGGAUGGGGUGUCCACCACAUCUCUGGGCAACCUGUAUGUAAUAUAGUGCUAAUUCCAUUAUCUGGAAGGGGUAUGUGCGUGUCCAAACACAGCACACAGAUGGCCAGUUAGUGUGAGCUCUUAAUAGCACUCUCCAGACAAGAUGCCCAUUCUGUCUCAACUUCACCUCAUUUUCAAGUGUCUGAGAGAGAAAGAGGGUCAGCGUCUUUCCUUGCAUUAUGGCUGCUCCCAGCCAUGAAAAGCAAACCCAUUGCCUAUUCCGUUCCUCUAUUUUAUUGGACUUGGGCAAGAGGCCUUCUUGUGCUCCGUGAGUACCUUCCCAUGGUGCAUGCGUGCUCAGCAUCACAGUGUGCUUCUUGCAGG
rnacentral:lncRNA from 1 species